rnacentral:rRNA from 1 species
AGUGAACGCUGGCGGUAGGCCUAACACAUGCAAGUCGAACGGCAGCACCGUAAGCGCUUGCUCUUACGGGUGGCGAGUGUAAGACGGGUGCGGCAAACAUCGGAAUCUCCUUUUUCGAGGGGGAUAACGUAGGGAAACUUACGCUAAUACCGCAUACGACCUACGGGUGUAAUCAUGUGAUCUUCGGAUCUUGUGCGAUUGAAUGAUCCGAUGUCGGAUUCGCUAGUUGGCGGGGUAAAGGCCCACCCAGGCGACGAUCCGUAGCUGGUCUGAGAGGAUGAUCAGCCACACUGGAACUGAGACACGGUCCAGACUCCUACGGGAGGCAGCAGUGGGGGGUAUUAGACAAUGGGCGCAAGCCUUAUCCAGCCAUACCGCGUAGGGGAAGAAGGCCUUCGAGUUGGAAAGCCCGUUUGUUGGGAUAGAAAAGCAGCAGGUUAAUACCCCGCUGGUCUUACGGUUCCCAAAGAAUAAGCACCGGCUAACUUCGUG